UACGUAGGGGGCAAGCGUUGUCCGGAAUCAUUGGGCGUAAAGCGCGUGUAGGCGGCUGACUAAGUCCGCUCUGAAAGCCCGGGGCUCAACCCCGGGAGGCGGGUGGAUACUGGUCAGCUCGAGUCCGGGAAGAGGAGUGUGGAAUUCCUGGUGUAGCGGUGAAAUGCGCAGAUAUCAGGAGGAACACCAAUGGCGAAGGCAGCACUCUGGGACGGUACUGACGCUGAGACGCGAAAGCGUGGGGAGCAAACAGG
rnacentral:rRNA from 1 species